CUACGGGUGGCUCCAGUGGGGAAUAUUGGACAAUGGGGGAAACCCUGAUCCAGCAAUGCCGCGUGUGUGAAGAAGGCCUGCGGGUUGUAAAGCACUUUCGGUUGGGAGGACUGCUUCUAGCACUAAUAUUGUUGGAAGUUGACGUUACCUUCAGAAGAAGCACCGGCUAACUCCGUGCCAGCAGCCGCGGGUAAUACGGAGGGUGCAAGCGUUAAUCGGAAUUACUGGGCGUAAAGCGCGCGUAGGCGGCUAGAUCAGUCGGGUGUGAAAGCCCCGGGCUUAACCUGGGAACUGCAUCCGAUACUGUCUAGCUUGAGUACAGGAGAGGAGAGUGGAAUUCCACAUGUAGCGGUGAGAUGCGUAGAUAUGUGGAGGAACACCAAUGGCGAAGGCAGCUCUCUGGCCUGAUACUGACGCUGAGGUGCGAAAGCGUGGGGAGCAAACAGGAUUAGAUACCCGGGUAGUC
rnacentral:rRNA from 1 species